rnacentral:rRNA from 1 species
UACGGAGGGUGCAAGCGUUAAUCGGAAUUACUGGGCGUAAAGCGCACGCAGGUGGCUGAGAAAGCCGAUUGUGAAAGCCCUGGGCUUAACCUGGGAAUUGCAGUCGAAACUACUCGGCUAGAGUAUGGGAGAGGGUAGUGGAAUUCCCGGUGUAGCGGUGAAAUGCGUAGAUAUCUGGAGGAACACCGGUGGCGAAGGCGGCAUCCUGGACCGGUAUUGACGCUGAGGCGCGAAAGCCAGGGGAGCAAACGGG